rnacentral:rRNA from 1 species
GACGAACGCUGGCGGCGUGCUUAACACAUGCAAGUCGAACGGAAAGGCCCUGCUUUUGUGGGGUGCUCGAGUGGCGAACGGGUGAGUAACACGUGAGUAACCUGCCCUUGACUUUGGGAUAACUUCAGGAAACUGGGGCUAAUACCGGAUAGGAGCUCCUGCUGCAUGGUGGGGGUUGGACAGUUUCGGCGGUUGGGGAUGGACUCGCGGCUGCUCAGCUUGUUGGUGGGGUAGUGGCUUACCAAGGCUUUGACGGGUAGCCUGCCUGAGAGGGUGACCGGCCACAUUGGGUCUGAGAUACGGCCCAGACCACUCCGGGACGCAGGAGUGGGGAAGGUUGCACUAUGGGAGGAACGCUGAUGCAGCAACGCCGCGUGGGGGAUAACGGCCUUCGGUUUGUAUUCCGAUUUCGCCUGUGACGAGGCGUGAGUGACGGUAAUGGGUAAAGAAGCACCGGCUAACUACGUG